rnacentral:misc_RNA from 1 species
UUCCAAUCAAUAUGCGGCAAAUUUUCAGAGGGCGAUAAACUUUGGGAAGUGAUCACAUUGGAAGAAUCGUACCGAGACCAAAAAAAUCGUAAAGUAAGAUAAACAAAUAGCGAAAUGGAGCUGAAUCCUUCCGAUUAAUCUUAAAACAGUCAAUUGCCGAAGCGUAAUUCGGUAUUCGGUUACCGGAGCGCCGCAACAUCUGAAGCGACGUCGUCAGGAGCGACAUCGAUGGCAGCAUGCACAUCCUUGGAGAAAAGAGAAAAGGAGCUAGCAAGGAGGAAGAGAGAGUCAUACAUCGGGAUGGGAUAUUGGCAUCUCCGGAGAAUCUCUCUCCUGCAUUAAGGAAUUGAGACUCAUUGCUGCCUCUGCAUGAUUGUUCACUAGAGUACCAAACAAAAAACCAAAUAUUAUUCAUGAUACAGACAUAGAUCACAUACUUUGUGAAUUUCUUAGAAUUGUCAUCCGAUAAAAAACCUCUUCGAAUUUUCAUUGUAACAUAUUUAUUGUAAACGCAUAUUUUUC